rnacentral:lncRNA from 1 species
UUUUCCCCAAAUCAUAAAACCUAUCUCCUUCCCCAAAUUCACCAAGGGCUCUCCACCACCACCACAGAACCUAAAUCGCAGCAACCAAUCCUAAAUUCUAGCUACCCACACCACGAUUUGAGCUGAACGUAUCCCCAAAAUACCUCAACUCCAUUCCCGAAUGUAGGUCCAAGGAAAACUGUGCAUUGCCAGUCUCACACUCGUUCGACCGAAGCUAUGUAGCCUAAGUCGAAAUCCCAAUAAAGUUUAAAACUUUAAAACUAUUGUCUUCAAGGAAAGAAAGACUCACGACAAGGGUGUUUUGAAACAAUCAAGGCUGACGGCAACC